rnacentral:ncRNA from 2 species
UAAACCUUUCCCUGUCAGGGUGUCCUCGUGACACAAAAAGGGAACCCGGUGCGAAUCCGGGACGGGCCCGCCGCUGUAACCGGGGACGAAAGUCGCAUUGCCAUUGAAUCGAUACGAUUUGAGAAGGGGCGAUGAGUAGGUCGAUCCGGAAGUCAGAAUACCUGCCCUGACCUGUAUUGUUAU